AACGCACAUUGCGCCCGCCAGUAUUCUGGCGGGCAUGCCUGUUCGAGCGUCAUUUCAACCCUCAAGCCCCCGGGCUUGGUGUUGGAGAUCGGCGUGCCCUCCGGGGCGCGCCGGCUCCCAAAUAUAGUGGCGGUCUCGCUGUAGCUUCCUCUGCGUAGUAGCACACCUCGCACUGGGAAACAGCCUGGCCACGCCGUUAAACCCCCCACUUCUGAAAGGUUGACCUCGGAUCAGGUAGGAAUACCCGCUGAACUUAA
rnacentral:misc_RNA from 1 species